AUUGAACGCUGGCGGCAGGCUUAACACAUGCAAGUCGAGCGGAGAUGAGGUGCUUGCACCUUAUCUUAGCGGCGGACGGGUGAGUAAUGCUUAGGAAUCUGCCUAUGAGUGGGGGACAACAUUCCGAAAGGAAUGCUAAUACCGCAUACGUCCUACGGGAGAAAGUAGGGGAUCUUCGGACCUUGCGCUAAUAGAUGAGCCUAAGUCGGAUUAGCUAGUUGGUGGGGUAAAGGCCUGCCAAGGCGACGAUCUGUAGCGGGUCUGAGAGGAUGAUCCGCCACACGGGGACUGAGACACGGCCAAGACUCCUACGGGAGGCAGCAGUGGGGAAUAUUGGACAAUGGGGGGAACCCUGAUCCAGCCAUGCCGCGUGUGUGAAGAAGGCCUUAUGGUUGUAAAGCACUUUAAGCGAGGAGGAGGCUACUGAGACUAAUACUCUUGGAUAGUGGACGUUACUCGCAGAAUAAGCACCGGCUAACUCUGUGCCAGCCGCCGCCGUAACAC
rnacentral:rRNA from 1 species